ensembl:rRNA 5S_rRNA 5S ribosomal RNA
GUCUACGUCCAUACUACCUUGAAUGUGCCCAGUCUCAUCUGAUCUCAGAAGCUAAGCAGGGUCGAGUCUUGUUAGUACUUGGAUGGGAGACCACCCGGAAAUACCAGAUGCUACAGGCU